AAAAACACUCUACACAGUUUUGCGCUUUGAGGUGUCCAACCCCUACUCUGUUUGGUUGGUUUGCCUGAUGCCAUCCUGACUAUCUAGCUAAUCCUAUUCUAAAGGCACCUUGAAAUCUAAGAAAGCUUAACUAACUGUUUGUUAGUGCAAAUACUUAACUCAUGCAGUGCGGCCAGGAGCUGUCGUGGGCCUCGUUCCCGUCGGUAGGCGUCAAGCCUCUCGUACCGGAAGUCCCAGCUGAGUAGGCGGCAAAGGCUCCGCGACGUUGGUUCUAGACGUUCUGGUAGUUGAGAGGCAUCCUCCUUCGUAACACAGUCGUGUGUUCGAAGAUUCUGCUCGUGAGUAGUUAGUUUCCGGUCGGCCGCUUCUGUUCCGCAUUUGUCGUUCUUGCGCGUCGAUGCGUGUGCAUACUCCUCGCGUCGGGUAACAGUGCAGUGGCGAUACCCCUUGCGCUGAGAGGCAGGCCGGCGGCGUUUCGACUGAACCAAGACCAAGACAUCUCGUCGGCGGAAGUGGGUCUAUUUGUCGCUGUGCCCGCUGGAAUGAGAGCCAGUGUCGGAGAUCCUUUCGCUGCUUCUGUUUCGCUGUGAUCCAGAGUCGUAAAUCAUCCUCUUGGUCCUGUUGAUCGCUUCUUGCUGUCGGUAAUGCUGUGAUUCAAGGCUGCCUCCGCCUGGAUGCUGAAGAAUGGGGACGUCACACUGGCCGAUUUUGUGGUUGGUUUCACAAACCGGAAGUUCAUGCUGUGCUGUUUCUGCUGAAGUAUGCUGUUGAGCCUGUGCUACGGUUGAAGUGUCCGUAUUUCUUGGGUGAUAAUUCGUUCGAGAAAACUUCUUGAUACGCAGUUCGAUGUGGAGCCAGGUUUUCGGUUUGGGUUUCUUGCACUGCGGCGCUGACGGAGCUCGUCGCCUGCGGAAGACUAGGAGUACUACUGGAUGGAGAUCUACAUAAAUUUUGUGAGCAUGAGCAAGCAAUACAUUCUGUGAAGGCCUGAGACUGGGACAUUUGCCAAACUACUUUCGGUGCUUCCUGUCUGUGUGCCGCUCUAUUUAUCUACCUGCCUUGACUUUUCACCAAAAGUUGUUAUGAGGUCGACGUUGUUUUGCCAGAAUGUUCAACAAACUUUUACCCUGGAUGAAGAUUUUAUCAUGGGUCAACCUAUUGGAAGACAAGCUGCAGUGGAUAUUGGUGUAAUGACAAAACCCUGGAAACGUUUUGUUUACGUUGGACUGGAACUCUUUUGUGGACCCGGAACUAUUCUUCAGUCUGGCUGGCAAAUGGAAAAGUGAAUUUCUCUUUGGACAGAUUGAAUGAACGACUGGCCCAUUAUUUAGAGCUUCUAGAACUGAUGUGGACACAUUUCGAAUGGUCAAUCUUCACCUGAAGUAGAACUGAUGAGGGGUACUGAACGUGCAUUCUGUUUGAUGAGUGGAUGAUUUCCUAUAUCCACCCUAAAUCUCAUCCAUGGAUAUCGACCAAAUGUGAAGACAUCGUGAUGUUUGCGAAUGAGCUUUUCUACCUCCUCCGUCUGUUCUGGUGGCAAAGCAGUAGCUUUGAUCUUGGCAUCCAAGUCUACAGACCGUCAAGCUGGCGAUGACCGGUCUGGCUGUCAAGCUGGCGAUGAUCAGCCCCCUCCGCUCUUGCCUGAGACGUUACUGUGAGGCACUUCGUUUCCAGAGGUGAAGCAGAAGUGGACAGUUUCCUUUCCAGCUCCGGACGGCGACUAUACCCACUAAUCGUCAUGGCAAGCAACGCGUCGGACUAUUCCGACUCAUCAACCACCAGGUGCUGACUCCUGGUCUGCAUAGUUGACAUUAGUUUGACUGUCGGAGCCUUCAACUUCUACCUUCCAAACCUUUUUGCUGUGUGUCUCGGAGGUCAAAGACAGCGCUCUAUUAACGUGGGUUCCCGUCGCGCUUUGCUUCGUGUGGAAUUUCGCGUGGUGUUCAGAUGUCAAAUGGGAAUGGGACACAGUACACUUGGUUUUAAUAAAGUUUUGACUUGAU